UACAGAGGUCUCAAGCGUUGUUCGGAUUCAUUGGGCGUAAAGGGUGCGUAGGCGGCGCGGUAAGUCGGGUGUGAAAUUUCGGAGCUUAACUCCGAAACUGCAUUCGAUACUGCCGUGCUUGAGGACUGGAGAGGAGACUGGAAUUCACGGUGUAGCAGUGAAAUGCGUAGAUAUCGUGAGGAAGACCAGUGGCGAAGGCGGGUCUCUGGACAGUUCCUGACGCUGAGGCGCGAAGGCCAGGGGAGCAAACGGG
rnacentral:rRNA from 1 species